AGUAUACUUUAUUAGAAGUGUGUUAGAUAGAAUUAUACACUUUAAAGAAAAUAUCUUUUAUUAUUGCAGGAUUUAUGAAAUGAUUACAUAAAUAUACUAACAACAAAUUGCAAUGCAUCUGUAUAUUAGAGACAAAGAUGAAAGAGAGUAACAAGAAUAUAUGUAUUCAAAAGAAAGAUAUCAAGACCAUUUGUAGUAAUUAAAAUUAAAGAAUAAAAUACAUAAAAUGUACCAUAUGAUCGAAAAAAAAACGGCGUCCAGUUGGCUGGGAAAUGACGAUCAAUAUACAUUUCCUAUAUAAAUUUACAUAUAAAAUGACAGCGACCUUCAUUUCAUAGCCAUCGUUGACGCCGUUUUUUCUCGAUCAUACGGUAGUUUAUGUGUGAACAAAUUCUCAUUUCAUAUAAAAAUUGGAGCUCUAUCUAGAGUAUAUUUGAAUAUAAAUGUUUUUAUGUAUUGGAAGGGGGACUGUAUUUUUCAAAUAUAAUAAAGAAAAUAGACUAAAAAA